ACUGAACAUAAACUCCUAGCCUUGGUGUCUACGUUGUCCGGUGUCGCGAAUACGUUUUUCGUUUACCGGCAAUAUGAUGCUCUGGCCGUGGCUUUAAGCCACCAGGGUGCGAGGUAGAAAUGCCUGCAUCUCCCGUAUUUGGAAAGGUGUUAUGGUACAACUUAC
ncrna:Yersinia bercovieri ATCC 43970 Moco (molybdenum cofactor) riboswitch